UAUUGGGCGUAAAGGGCUCGCAGGCGGUUUCUUAAGUCUGAUGUGAAAGCCCCCGGCUCAACCGGGGAGGGUCAUUGGAAACUGGGGAACUUGAGUGCAGAAGAGGAGAGUGGAAUUCCACGUGUAGCGGUGAAAUGCGUAGAGAUGUGGAGGAACACCAGUGGCGAAGGCGACUCUCUGGUCUGUAACUGACGCUGAGGAGCGAAAGCGUGGGGAGCGAACAGGAUUAGAUACCCUGGUAGUCCACGCCGUAAACGAUGAGUGCUAAGUGUUAGGGGGUUUCCGCCCCUUAGUGCUGCAGCUAACGCAUUAAGCACUCCGCCUGGGGAGUACGGUCGCAAGACUGAAACUCAAAGGAAUUGACGGGGGCCCGCACAAGCGGUGGAGCAUGUGGUUUAAUUCGAAGCAACGCGAAGAACCUUACCAGGUCUU
rnacentral:rRNA from 1 species